rnacentral:rRNA from 1 species
AUGGAUGGAUGGAUCUGCUACAAAAUUCAUCAGCUGCAGCCAGCCUGCAGCAGGACAAGAUUAAUUAUACAUAUUGGUGACAUUUUAAAGGAUCCGGGGACGGGCAUGUCAACUGGGGAAAUAUUAUGUCUCCGGGAAGGAUCUCUUCUUUUUACAAAAGAAAAACCAUCAAGGCUUGUGAUUAUUACGGUUUCACUUGUGGCUGCACCCGACCACAGGAAGGGUGUGAAAACCGUUGUGGCGCUGAUCUCCUGGCAUAUAUGGUUAGAGCGCAACGCAUGUACAUUCAGGGGAAAGCAGGCAAACGCAAGGCACAUCAUUGAAGCUUGCAAGCGCGACAUGGAGCAGUGGCGGAUGGCCGGUUCAAAGUGCCUAGAGUUACCCUUCGGGGAAGUGACGUGA